rnacentral:tRNA from 1 species
CCCUGGUUAGCUCAGUUGGUAGAGCGCUCCACGGGUAAUGGAGAUGCCCCGGGUUCGAUACCCGGACCAGGCG